AUGGCUAACAGGUGUGCCCUAGCCUACCCUGCGGGGUUCUCCUGCCAGAUUUUGCUCACUAUAUACACCUUUGCUUUUGCUACUGCUGAGUGCACAUGGUGCCGUGUGCAAGAUGGUGCGAUAUGGUUAAAGUGGGAUGAAACCUUCCUUUGUAAGAGCUCGGUGCCCCUGGCUCGGAGACACCAGGGCUGCUCUACGGCAGUCCCUCGAUCAUUCUGGAAGAUGACAUGAUAAUUUAAGUGGAAAAUCCUAAGGAUUCUACAAAGGAAUUAUUAGAAUUUGUCAAGAUCUCAACAUACAAGGUCAGUAUUAAAAAAUCAGUUAUAUUUGAUCAGUUUCAAAAAUUAUAAGAUAAAAUCUAAGGAUUCCCUUUAAAAUGGAAUUUAAAUACUUAGGAAUAAAUGAACAAAAGAGGUACAAGGCCUUUACAUUGAAAUACUUACCAUAUGUCUGAUACUUGUAUACACUCAAAUUUUUUUUAC
rnacentral:lncRNA from 1 species